rnacentral:rRNA from 3 species
CUCAGCAACCCGGACGAUCCUGAAGCGGGUCUGGAGAGGAAUCGAUCCAAGCCAACACUGGGGACUGAGACACGGGCCCAAGACUUCGCUACGGGAGGCAGCAGUAGGGAAUACUGGACAAUGGGCGAAAGCCUGAUCCAGCAAUUGCCGCGUGAGUGUAUGAAGGCCUUAGGUGCUUGUAAAGCUCUUUUACCCGGUGAUGAUAAUGACAGUACCUGGGAGAAUAAGCUCCGGCUAACUCCGUGCCAGCAGUCCGUCGGUAAUACGGAGGGAGUCUAGCGUUGUUCGGAAUUACUGGGCGUAAAGCGCACGUAGGCGGCUAUUCAAGUCAGAGGUGUAAAGCCCGGGGCUCAACCCCGGAACUGCCUUUGAAACUAGAUAGCUUGAAUCCAGGAUGAGGUGAGUGGAAUUCCGAGUGUAUGAGGUGUAAAUUCGUAGAUAUUCGGAUAGAACACCAGUGUGCGAAGGUCGGCUCACUGGACUGGGUAUUGACGUCUGAGGUGCGAAGAGCGUGGGGAGCAAACAGGAUUAGAUACCCCUGGUAGUCCACGCCGUAAACGAUGAUAACUAGCUGUCCAGGGCACAUAGGGGUUUUGGUGGCGCAGCUAACGCAUUAAGUUAUCCGCCUGGGGAGUACGGUCGCAAGAUUAAAACUCAAAUGAAUUGACGG